rnacentral:rRNA from 1 species
GGAAUCUUGCGCAAUGGGCGAAAGCCUGACGCAGCAACGCCGCGUGCGGGAUGAAGGCCCUCGGGUUGUAAACCGCUUUCAGCAGGGACGAAACUGACGGUACCUGCAGAAGAAGCCCCGGCCAACUACGUGCCAGCAGCCGCGGUAACACGUAGGGGGCGAGCGUUGUCCGGAUUUAUUGGGCGUAAAGAGCUCGUAGGCGGCUCGGUAAGUCAGGUGUGAAACCUCUGGGCUCAACCCAGAGACGCCACCUGAUACUGCUGUGGCUAGAGUCCGGUAGGGGAGCGUGGAAUUCCUGGUGUAGCGGUGAAAUGCGCAGAUAUCAGGAGGAACACCAGCGGCGAAGGCGGCGCUCUGGGCCGGAACUGACGCUGAGGAGCGAAAGCGUGGGGAGCGAAC